UGGCGGACGGGUGAGUAAUGUCUGGGAAACUGCCUGAUGGAGGGGGAUAACUACUGGAAACGGUAGCUAAUACCGCAUAACGUCGCAAGACCAAAGAGGGGGACCUUCGGGCCUCUUGCCAUCGGAUGUGCCCAGAUGGGAUUAGCUAGUAGGUGGGGUAACGGCUCACCUAGGCGACGAUCCCUAGCUGGUCUGAGAGGAUGACCAGCCACACUGGAACUGAGACACGGUCCAA
rnacentral:rRNA from 1 species